rnacentral:rRNA from 1 species
GUAGGUGGCAAGCGUUGUCCGGAAUUAUUGGGCGUAAAGCGCGCGCAGGUGGGUUCUUUAAGUCUGAUGUGAAAGCCCCCGGGCUCAACCGGGGAGGGUCAUUGGAAACUGGGGAACUUGAGUGCAGGAGAGGAAAGUGGAAUUCCACGUGUAGCGGUGAAAUGCGUAGAUAUGUGGAGGAACACCAGUGGCGAAGGCGACUUUCUGGCCUGUAACUGACACUGAGGCGCGAAAGCGUGGGGAGCAAACAGGAUUAGAUACCCUGGUAGUCCACGCCGUAAACGAUGAGUGCUAAGUGUCGGGGGGUUUCCGCCCCUCAGUGCUGCAGCUAACGCAUUAAGCACUCCGCCUGGGGAGUACGGUCGCAAGACUG